UUCCCACUGACCGACAUUGUAUAGGAAAAUGUGACAGCUUUUUGCAUGACGUUUUCCGAUAAAUAACAGCAAGUUGCAGAACCAGGAAUGUGGUAUAGAGUCAUAGAGUCAUACAGCACAGAAAUAGGCCCUUCGGCCCAACUGGUCCAUGCCGACCAAGACACCCAUUUAAGGUAGACGAACAACAUGAUGAUGCUGGAGGAACUCAGCAGGCCAGGCAGCAUCCGUGGAGAAAAGCAGGUGGUCAAUGUUUCGGGUCAGGACCCUUCUUCAGGACUGAAGGUGGGUAAAUUCACAGCCAGCACAAGUACUCCAGAACUCCGAUUAGGAACUGACAAGUGUACGCUGAUUGAUUAGUUGAUCAGUUCCCCAAAUAUCAACCAACUUGAGUUUGAUCUGUGAGCAAUGAUCAUUCAGUUAAUUCCCAAGAGCUCAUUUUAAUGCAGUCUUCACAGAAACUGAUGAAUCACAACCAAUCAAUGCUUCGCUCUAUAUCCUAAAAACCAUCUGGAACCUUCAUCACUUUUAUUAAGGAAAUGGAUUUAACAGAGAUUCUGGAGUGGAUCCAGCCCAAAGCUCAUGAAUACAGUACUUGCGCUCAUGUUCUGCCUCAAGAGUCGUGAUCCCGUUUGAGGAAGAACUUACAAGGUGAUGGGUGUGAAGAUUGGGUAAGUUGCUUCAUGGACCAGUGAUAAGGCUUCUCUGUCCGGUGACUGGGAGCUUAUCCUGUUUGCACUCAAUGGGCAAUGAUUCAUCCCCAUGAUAAACUUGGAGUGCAGGUAAGGGAUGGAAACUGAGAAUAGGCACAGAACAAACUUCUUUCGUCCAGACAUUGUCCUUGAUUCACCUUUUCCAUGUGAUUGUGAUGUGACAGGAUGUGGGUAUUGCUGACAAGUGUGAUAUAUAUGGUCCACCUCUUGAGCAGAAGCACUGAGUUGUAUUGGUAUUGGUCUAUUAUUGUCACUUGUACCGAGGUACAGUGAAA